GACGAAGGUGGCGAGCGUUGUUCGGAAUCAUUGGGCUUAAAGCGCACGUAGGCGGCUCUUCAAGUGUCUUGUGAAAUCCCUCGGCUCAACCGGGGAAUUGCUGGGCAUACUGUCGAGCUUGAGGCAGGUAUGGGCGAGUGGAACUCUUGGUGGAGCGGUGGAAUGCAUAGAUAUCAAGAGGAACGCCGGUGGUGAAGACGAUUCGCUGGGCCUGUCCUGACGCUGAGGUGCGAAAGCCAGGGGAG
rnacentral:rRNA from 1 species